rnacentral:rRNA from 1 species
GACGAACGCUGGCGGCGUGCUUAACACAUGCAAGUCGAACGGAAAGGCCCUUCGGGGUACUCGAGUGGCGAACGGGUGAGUAACACGUGGGUGAUCUGCCCUGCACUUUGGGAUAAGCCUGGGAAACUGGGUCUAAUACCGAAUAGGACCACGCGCUUCAUGGUGUGUGGUGGAAAGCUUUUGCGGUGUGGGAUGGGCCCGCGGCCUAUCAGCUUGUUGGUGGGGUAAUGGCCUACCAAGGCGACGACGGGUAGCCGGCCUGAGAGGGUGACCGGCCACAGAGAUAGUGAGCUACGGCCCGGACUCGGACGGGAGGGAGGGGGGGGGAAUAUUGCAGGAGGGCCACACGCCGGAUGACGGGACGCGGGUUGAGGGAUGCCGGACGUCGUGUUACAGACUUCUGUCAAAAUGGACGAGCAGAAAGGGACGCUACCUAAAGAAGAAGCCCCUGCAAAGGAGGUGCCACGAGCCGCGGUCAAAACCGCAAAGCAAACGUCCAAAC